GUUCAUCUCACUCACAAAUUCUUUUUCCGCUGUUCAAGGACUUUUUCUACUCGUACUAAUUUUCUUUUUGGAUUUUUCUUUUCUUUUUUUUCUUUUGCACUUUAAGCUUGUAACACCCCUUACCCGAAUCAUUUGCUGGGCUCAAGUAAACAAUGUUACGACAAAGUUAGACAAUUGAUAAUCGCUUUAGUAUACGCAAAAAUCUAGUAUUUAAAACAUCAAUAACAUGUAAACUAAUAUAUAUAAUUUAAUUCCAGAACUCUUAGAGGACCUAUUUGUGAACCUCAACAUAUAAUAGGAUUAAGUCUCAAAAUGAUUAAGAGUUAAAAUUUAGAAAUAAAAUUCC
rnacentral:lncRNA from 1 species